AGUGACAAUUUCUAUCAUAUGCUGAUAGAUGCUGAUGAACCACUGUAGCCGAGAUGUGAAACAUACACUGUAUUAUCAAUUAUGUCAGAGUCGUUGAAUUUGAAGGUCGAGUUUAAUAUGACGGUCAAUUGCUAUAAUAAGAUGGUAGCAAUAAUAAAGAAAAUACUAUCCAAGGAUGAGAAGCUUGUUAGAAGCUUCUAUUCUUCAAAAAAAAUGAUGGAAGGGUUAGGCAUG
rnacentral:lncRNA from 1 species